rnacentral:lncRNA from 1 species
UUCUCAUAGUCCUUUUUGCCCUUAUCUUCCUAAUAUAAUCUCUCUAAUCUGGUUACUUUUUGCUUUUAUUAUCAUUAUUUUUUGAUGUGUGUAGCCAUUUUUUCCACUUUCUUUUUUAUUUUUGGUCAGUUGUGCAAGGGUAUAAGGAAAUAAGAGCUGACUGGGGAUUGAAUUACAGAAGCCGUGAAAUCAGUGAAACUCCUUGAGAUGAUCAAGUUGGAAGGGCAGUGAUGCAUGCUUUCUCUGUUGACAAGACUGACAUUGUUAUCAAGAAACAAGGAACAUCUGAGAAAUUGUCAUCGUCUAGAGGAGCCUAAGGAGAUAUAUGACUAGAGUUCUUCAUCUUUAAUCCCAACCCAAACAAGGCUGUAGAUGGAACUCAUCAACAUCGUGACAGAGAAGGUCAAUAAUCUGAUUGAUGAGUUAUCCAUUUGACUCUCGGUCUUGUCCAUUGUAGCCUCCUAAGAUGAAUAUAUCUCAUUCAGCUUUUCUGGUAGGUGUCUUGUUUUCCCACAUCUUAAAAUAAAACACUUGUGUAUGCAUGUGUGUACAUUUUGAGAGCACAUGUAUUAGAGUAAACUGGGACUCUACACCCUAACUUUUCAGUUAACAUAGAUAGGUUCUCUUGCAUUACUUCUGCAUUCACAUUUCUUGAAGAUAAGUCAUUCUACAGAUCUCCAAAAGGUUAAAGAAAGGCAUCUGCAGUUAGAAACAGCACUUUGGGUAGCAUAUGCCUUCUUGAUAUAGAAUUAACUUGAGCUAUACGGCAAAACAAGUACCUUUCACCAAGAAAGAAAGUUUAUGGAAAAAAUAGAAGAUUCAUCAACUAAGAAUGAUGGAUGAUUGCAGAAAUA